GACGAACGCUGGCGGCGUGCUUAACACAUGCAAGUCGAACGGAAAGGCCCUGCUUUUGUGGGGUGCUCGAGUGGCGAACGGGUGAGUAACACGUGAGUAACCUGCCCUUGACUUUGGGAUAACUUCAGGAAACUGGGGCUAAUACCGGAUAGGAGCUCCUGCUGCAUGGUGGGGGUUGGAAAGUUUCGGCGGGUGGGGAUGGACUCGCGGCUUAUCAGCUUGUUGGUGGGGUAGUGGCUUACCAAGGCUUUGACGGGUAGCCGGCCUGAGAGGGUGACCGGCCACAUUGGGACUGAGAGACGGCCCAGACUCCUACGGGAGGCAGCAGUGGGGAAUAUUGCACAAUGAGCGGAAGCCUGAUGCAGCAACGCCGCGUGCGGGAUGACGGCCUUCGGGUUGUAAACCGCUUUCGCCUGUGACGAAGCGUGAGUGACGGUAAUGGGUAAAGAAGCACCGGCUAACUACGUG
rnacentral:rRNA from 1 species